GACGAACGCUGGCGGCGUGCUUAACACAUGCAAGUCGAACGAAGAGCGAUGGAAGCUUGCUUCUAUCAAUCUUAGUGGCGAACGGGUGAGUAACGCGUAAUCAACCUGCCCUUCAGAGGGGGACAACAGUUGGAAACGACUGCCAAUACCGCAUACGAUCUAACCUCGGCAUCGAGGAUAGAUGAAAGGUGGCCUCUAUUUAUAAGCUAUCACUGAAGGAGGGGAUUGCGUCUGAUUAGCUAGUUGGAGGGGUAACGGCCCACCAAGGCGAUGAUCAGUAGCCGGUCUGAGAGGAUGAACGGCCACAUUGGGACUGAGACACGGCCCAGACUCCUACGGGAGGCAGCAGUGGGGAAUCUUCCGCAAUGGACGAAAGUCUGACGGAGCAACGCCGCGUGAGUGAUGACGGCCUUCGGGUUGUAAAGCUCUGUUAAUCGGGACGAAAGGCCUUCUUGCGAAUAGUUAGAAGGAUUGACGGUACCGGAAUAGAAAGCCACGGCUAACUACGUGCCAGCAGCCGCGGUAAU
rnacentral:rRNA from 1 species